UACGAAGGGGGCUAGCGUUGCUCGGAAUCACUGGGCGUAAAGGGUGCGUAGCCGGGUCUUUUAAGUCAGGGGUGAAAUCCUGGAGCUCAACUCCAGAACUGCCUUUAAUACUGAGGAUCUUGAGUUCGGGAGAGGUGAGUGGAACUGCGAGUGUAGAGGUGAAAUUCGUAGAUAUUCGCAAGAACACCAGUGGCGAAGGCGGCUCACUGGCCCGAUACUGACGCUGAGGCACGAAAGCGUGGGGAGCAAACAGG
rnacentral:rRNA from 1 species